rnacentral:sRNA from 1 species
GCCAGGUGCAGUGGUGCACGCCUGUAAUCCCAGUGACUUGGGAGGCAGAGGCAGGAGGAUUGCAAGUUCAAAGCCAGCUUCAGUAAUUUAGCAAGGUCCUGAGCAACUUAGCAAGAACUUGUCUCAG